rnacentral:rRNA from 1 species
AUUGAACGCUGGCGGCAGGCCUAACACAUGCAAGUCGAACGAGUGGCGGACGUGUGAGUAAUGUCUGGGAAACUGCCUGGUGGCGGGGGAUAACUACUGGAAACGGUAGCUAAUACCGCAUACCAUCAGAUGUGCCCAGAUGGGAUUAGCUUGUUGGUGGGUUAACGGCUCACCAAGGCGACGAUCCCUAGCUGGUCUGAGAGGAUGACCGGCCACCUUGGAACUGAGAAACGGCCCAGACUCCUACGGGAGGCAGCAGUGGGGAAUAUUGCACAAUGGGCGCAAGCCUGAUGCAGCCAUGCCGCGUGUAUGAAGAAGUCCUUCGGGUUGUAAAGUACUGUCAGCGGGGAGGCGUUACCCGCAGAGGAAGCACCGGCUAACUCCGUGCCAGCAGCCGCGGUAAUAC